rnacentral:rRNA from 1 species
GAUGAACGCUGGCGGCGUGCCUAAUACAUGCCAGUCGAGCGAACAGAUGAGGAGCUUGCUCCUCUGACGUUAGCGGCGGACGGGUGAGUAACACGUGGAUAACCUACCUAUAAGACCGGGAUAACUUCGGGAAACCGGAGCUAAUACCGGAUAAUAUAUUGAACCGCAUGGUUCAAUAGUGAAAGACGGUUUUGCUGUCACUUAUAGAUGGAUCCGCGCCGCAUUAGCUAGUUGGUAAGGUAACGGCUUACCAAGGCAACGAUGCGUAGCCGACCUGAGAGGGUGAUCGGCCACACUGGAACUGAGACACGGUCCAGACUCCUACGGGAGGCAGCAGUAGGGAAUCUUCCGCAAUGGGCGAAAGCCUGACGGAGCAACGCCGCGUGAGUGAUGAAGGUCUUCGGAUCGUAAAACUCUGUUAUUAGGGAAGAACAAAUGUGUAAGUAACUAUGCACGUCUUGACGGUACCUAAUCAGAAAGCCACGGCUAACUACGUG